rnacentral:rRNA from 1 species
GAGUUUGAUCUUGGCUCAGAUUGAACGCUGGCGGCAGGCCUAACACAUGCAAGUCGAGCGGUAGAGAGAAGCUUGCUUCUCUUGAGAGCGGCGGACGGGUGAGUAAUGCCUAGGAAUCUGCCUGGUAGUGGGGGAUAACGCUCGGAAACGGACGCUAAUACCGCAUACGUCCUACGGGGGAAAGCAGGGGACCUUCGGGCCUUGCGCUAUCAGAUGAGCCUAGGUCGGAUUAGCUAGUUGGUGAGGUAAUGGCUCACCAAGGCGACGAUCCGUAACUGGUCUGAGAGGAUGAUCAGUCACACUGGAACUGAGACACGGUCCAGACUCCUACGGGAGCAGCAGUGGGGAAUAUUGGACAAUGGGCGAAAGCCUGAUCCAGCCAUGCCGCGUGUGUGAAGAAGGUCUUC